AGAGCAUCUCUGAAACACAGAGGGCUGAAAUUUCAGGAAUAAACUUCCUUGGAGAAGACAAAAGGAAAACAGCCGAAAAUCAUUCAUGAGCAGCUGAUGAAUAAGGGCUUGGCAGACCCUGAGGACACUAGCUCCCUGGACGCUCAGAUUGUUGCCUUUGCCACCCAGAUCUACAGUUAUUAAGAAAGUGCCUGGCAACAUAAGAAGGAUAGACUCCUCAGACACUGCAGAUGAGGAACAUUUAGACGAAGAAGAUAUCCAGGAUCAAACCCAGGGUCCCAUGCCUACAAGACGAGUGCUCUACCGCUGAGCCAUAACCCCAGCCUGAGAACCAGUCGCUUUUGAUAACGCCCUACUCUUUCUGAACAGCUCUGGUUACUGAAAUACAUCCAAGGCCUGAGAACUUAGACCAUACCCUUCUCUGUGGCCCAGAUUCUAAAUCUUUAAGGCACUACAUGAUUUCCAUAAUGCACUCGACUGAUAUUAGAAGGGAAACUGUAAGGAAGUCACAGAAACAAACAAGACAAGACCAUACAUACAAGAAGAAAAGUCUUGGACAGAUUAGAGUUGAAGGGUAGAGGCUGUGAAGGGAUGAAUGAAAGAGAGAUAAAAGACAGUCCAAAUACUCAUCGAGGCAAACAUUUGGUACAUAAUUUUUUUAUACAACUAUAAUGAAUGUCAUUCUUCUCUAUGGAACAACAUGCCAGUUCUUUAACACAUCGCUGCUUGGUGCCCAGUGGGCAGCAAGUGCCCAAUUGCCAGUGCCACUUUUUAGUGCAUGUUCAUCUGCAGGAUAUUAAACAGAUUGCCAUCCUUUUGAUGUUUGUGAAUACGAGUAGUAAAUACCAUAUGAUGUGACUCAAUGGAUUUAGUUCAGGAAAAAGAAAAAGAGGAAUAAUAAGACAGUAAAAGGAGGAGGAGGGUAAUGGAGAAAGUAAAUUAGCAUUUCUUGUUGAGUGGAGGUGAGUAGUAAACUCUGUAUCUAGAAAAAAUGGUGCAUCUAGCAAUUCACCCCUAAAUUUCUGACAUAUCUUCUAAGGAAAUGACUCCCUAAAGAAUUUGCAAACAUUAUUUUUUUUUUAGAAAAUAGAAAAUCAUUAGAGAAUAGAGAAUGAUUUCAUUGUAGUUCAGAAUCUUUCAGAAUGUGCUCAGAUUAAUUGGCCAUAAAAAUUGUGUAUGUGAGAGUGCCCCAAAUUAUUCAUAGGCCUAGAAAUUAUUCUUAGUUUCACAAGAAAUCUGAUAAACUUUUUACUUUCACUUUCUUCAUGUAACAUAAAAAGAUAACAGUAUUGUUUGAGAUAAACUCUAAGAAAGGUACCAUUACCUGGGUAAAGACAAAGGAAAAUUAAUAUCUCAAAUAUAUUUUAAAAAUAUUUCUCCAGCUUGUA